CGGAACGUGCCCAGUAGCGGGGGAUAACUACGCAAAAGCGUAGCUAAUACCGCAUACGCCCUUCGGGGGAAAGCAGGGGAUCGCAAGACCUUGCACUAUUGGAGCGGCCGAUAUCGGAUUAGCUAGUUGGUGAGGUAAUGGCUCACCAAGGCCGCGAUCCGUAGCUGGUUUGAGAGGACGACCAGCCACACUGGGACUGAGACACGGCCCAGACUCCUACGGGAGGCAGCAGUGGGGAAUUUUGGACAAUGGGGGAAACCCUGAUCCAGCCAUCCCGCGUGUGCGAUGAAGGCCUUCGGGUUGUAAAGCACUUUUGGCAGGAAAGAAACGGCGCGUGCUAAUACCAUGCGCAACUGACGGUACCUGCAGAAUAAGCACCGGCUAACUACGUGCCAGCAGCCGCGGUAAUACGUAGGGUGCAAGCGUUAAUCGGAAUUACUGGGCGUAAAGCGUGCGCAGGCGGUUCGGAAAGAAAGAUGUGACAUCCCAGGGCUCAACCUUGGAACUGCAUUUUUAACUACCGGACUAGAGUAUGUCAGAGGGAGGUGGAAUUCCACGU
rnacentral:rRNA from 1 species